AAUAAAAAAAAAUUAAAACCAAAACAUACAUGACCACCACAGUUAGUACUAGCAUAAUUUGAAUAAUGCACAUACAAAGAACCCUUUCCUAAACUUCAAAGAACCCGUAAGGCAUUCAAAGGGUUCUUUGAGUGUUAAUGGUUCUAUGUAGAACCAUUACCUUCACAGAAGAACCUUUGAAGAACCCUUUUUUCUAAGAGUGUAGUUACUAAAAGUUGAUUAAAAUCAUAUGUUUUCUUUCUUUCAACAAGCAUUUUUAAUUUUGUUAGGUUGAAGUUCUCUGAACUCAUUUUAUUGAGUUGUUCUGGCUGGCCUGGGAAUGAAUGUGAUCCAUCACAUGAAAAAGACAGACAGAGAGAGAGAGAGAAAGAAAGAGAGAGAGAGAGAGGAAAGUGUCGCAAAAGAGCGUCUGAGCGAGGGAAGAGCCGGUGGAGGAACUCACAGGAAGGAGGAAGAGUGAGCCGUAUAAUAAUGGCUGUGGUUACAAUGAGGAUGUCAGUGUAGUAGAUUUGUAACACUGUAACUGGCCUCAGUGCAGCUUUAUUCAGCAUGCUAUAACUUAAUAACUAAAUCCUGAAUAAACAUCUG
rnacentral:lncRNA from 1 species